UGGCCUGACCUGUGGAUGCUGAGGAAGUGUCGGUGACAGGAAGAGGGGUGGUGUCACCUGUGGAUGCUGAGGAAGCGUCGGUGACAGGAAGAGGCGUGGCGUGACCUGUGGACACUGAGGAAGCGCCGGUGACAGGAAGAGGGGUGGCGUGACCUGUGGAUACUGAGGAAGUGUCGGUGACAGGAAGAGGGGUAGCGUGACCUGUGGACACUGAGGAAGCGUCGGUGACAGGAAGAGGGGUGGCAUGACCUGUGGACACUGAGGAAGCGUCGGUGACAGGAAGAGAGGUGGCGUGACCUGUGGACACUGAGGAAGCGUCGGUGACAGGAAGAGGGGUGGUGUGACCUGAGGAUGCUGAGGAAGGGAUGGUGACAGGAAGAGAGGUGGCGUGACCUGUGGACACUGAGGAAGCGUCGGUGACAGGAAGAGAGGUGGUGUGACCUGAAGAUGCUGAGGAAGGGAUGGUGACAGGAAGAGAG
rnacentral:lncRNA from 1 species